rnacentral:sRNA from 2 species
CGAAGAUCACCGCUCAAUCGCCCGCAUGGGCGAACCGGGGAACCACAGUUUUCGGAGCGAUCCGAAUUGGGGUGAAUCGCGCUCUGGACACCGAUCACGGUGACCAGAUCCGUGUAGGGCCAUUCUUCCGGCCCGAACCCGACAGCUAACUCGGUAGGCGGUAGAGGGAGAAACA